AUUGAACGCUGGCGGCAGGCCUAACACAUGCAAGUCGAGCGGAUGAAGGGAGCUUGCUCCUGGAUUCAGCGGCGGACGGGUGUGUAAUGCCUAGGAAUCUGCCUGGUAGUGGGGGAUAACGUCCGGAAACGGGCGCUAAUACCGCAUACGUCCUGAGGGAGAAAGUGGGGGAUCUUCGGACCGCACGCUAUCAGAUGAGCCUAGGUCGGAUUAGCUAGUUUGUGGGGUAAAGGCCUACCAAGGCGACGAUCCGUAACUGGUCUGAGAGGAUGAUCAGUCACACUGGAACUGAGACACGGUCCAGACUCCUACGGGAGGCAGCAGUGGGGAAUAUUGGACAAUGGGCGAAAGCCUGAUCCAGCCAUGCCGCGUGUGUGAAGAAGGUCUUCGGAUUGUAAAGCACUUUAAGUUGGGAGGAAGGGCAGUAAGUUAAUACCUUGCUGUUUUGACGUUACCAACAGAAUAAGCACCGGCUAACUUCGUG
rnacentral:rRNA from 1 species